rnacentral:rRNA from 1 species
CCCUUAGAUGUCCUGGGCCGCACGCGCGCUACACUGAGUGUCUGAGAUACGAGUCUGCCUGGUCCGGCAAGGUCUAGGUGAUCGCUAAAAGACACAUCAUGCUUGGGAUAGAUUAUUGCAAAUAUUAAUCUUGAACGAGGAAUUCCUAGUAAGCGCAAGUCAACAGCUUGCGUUGAUUACGUCCCUGCCCUUUGUACACACCGCCCGUCGCUACUACUGAUUGGAUGUUUAAGCGAGGUUCUCGAACUGCUAGCGACUUAGCUUCGGUGAGGUCGCAGUGUGGGAAGUGAACCUAGCUUUGGUGUCUAGAGGAAGUAAAAGUCGUAACA